AACCAGUAUCAGCACCUAUUCCCAAAUAAGGGCAACCUCAUCUCUCUUUCCCACCUAGGUAGCCUAGGAAAACAUCACAUCUAAAGCAAGCACCUUUGAAAUGGAAAAAGUACGGUGAAGUGAAGGUUGGGCUUUUCAUCCAUGCAGGGUCUUGACCUCCUGUUGGAAUGACUUUGGUCUCCACACAGUUUCAGGCUUCCCAGACUGCACCUCGCCAGACAGCCCAGCAGAGCAAGUGCGCUGGGGUACUCUUUCCCUCCAGUCUUCCCAUCAACGUUUCCUUCUUUCUUCUCCCCUCCCAGAUGAACACUGAGCUUCUCCCCUGCUCCCAGUGCCAGAAGCCCAGAAUCCUCAUUGUCCUUGGACCCUCAGACCUUCUCCCCUUUUCCCAAUGGUGGUGGGCUAAAAGAAUAUGUUUCUGCUAUAACCGAGGUGCCUCCAGUCUUGACCCAAUGGAUUCUGCUUCUUCUUGGGCAUCUCUCUUGCCUCAGACAAGCCAUGAUCUUGUGCCUGCCCUAGGGUCUCUACCUUAGAGUCUUUACCUCUACCAUGGAACCUCUUCAGGCUUUGCCAUUCCCCUCUCAGAUGUAGCAGCAGCCUGGGAGUAGUAGUAGCAAGUAGUUAUUAGAAGGCAGGCUGAAUGCCAAGCACCCUAUUAGUAAAGGUUUGAUGUUGGGACAGAAUGAGGCACUUGCAAAUCAUUGAAUAGUUAACAAAAGGAGGAUUACUUUGCCCCAGUGAAGCAAGGAUGUACAACAAGGAAAGGGUGACAUUUUAGCCUCCUUGUCUCUAUAUGGAAAUACAUAUGGUCCCUAGUGCAGUGAUUCAAGGUGGUCUUUGGAUAACUACCAAGAUGGAGG
rnacentral:lncRNA from 1 species